GAACAUCUGUGGCUCAGUGGUAGAGCAUCUGCUUUGCAUACAGAAGGCUCCAGGUUCACUCUCUGGCAUUUUCA